rnacentral:pre_miRNA from 1 species
CAUGCACUGGUGGGGUCCCUCGGCCUGGUCUGCGCCCUCUCACAACCUGGCACCCCUUGAGGGAUGUCAGACUGCUGGUUUUGGCCCAAUCCCCGCAGGCCAGGCCAAGGGACCCCACCAAUGCACA